rfam:Perkinsus marinus ATCC 50983 gcontig_1104296784622, whole genome shotgun sequence.
GACAGUUUGGCCGAGUGGUCUAAGGCGCUGGCUUUAAAUCGCCAGUCCGAAAGGGCGUGGGUUCUAACCCCACAGCUGUUA